UACGUAGGGUGCGAGCGUUGCCCGGAAUUAUUGGGCGUAAAGAGCUCGUAGGCGGUGUGUCGCGUCGGCCGUGAAAACCUGGGGCUCAACUCUGGGCGUGCGGUCGAUACGGGCAUCACUUGAGUUCGGCAGGGGAGACUGGAAUUCCUGGUGUAGCGGUGAAAUGCGCAGAUAUCAGGAGGAACACCGGUGGCGAAGGCGGGUCUCUGGGCCGAUACUGACGCUGAGGAGCGAAAGCAUGGGUAGCGAACAGG
rnacentral:rRNA from 1 species